CCUACGGGAGGCAGCAGUAGGGAAUCUUCCACAAUGGGCGAAAGCCUGAUGGAGCAACGCCGGGUGGGUGAAGAAGGUCUUCGGAUCGUAAAACCCUGUUGUUAGAGAAGAAAGUGCGUGAGAGUAACUGUUCACGUUUCGACGGUAUCUAACCAGAAAGCCACGGCUAACUACGUGCCAGCAGCCGCGGUAAUACGUAGGUGGCAAGCGUUAUCCGGAUUUGUUGGGCGUAAGGGGAACGCAGGCGGUCUUUUAAGUCUGAUGUGAAAGCCCUCGGCUUAACCGGAGUAGUGCAUUGGAAACUGGGAGACUUGAGUGCAGAAGAGGAGAGUGGAACUCCAUGUGUAGCGGUGAAAUGCGUAGAUAUAUGGAAGAACACCAGUGGCGAAAGCGGCUCUCUGGUCUGUAACUGACGCUGAGGUUCGAAAGCGUGGGUAGCAAACAGGAUUAGAUACCCUUGUAGUC
rnacentral:rRNA from 1 species